rnacentral:tRNA from 1 species
AUUUCUAUUUAUGUAGUUUAGAUAAAACAUUACAUUUUCAUUGUAAAAUCAAAUAUUAAUUUUAUAA